GAUUAUGAAACACAACGCGUGUUUCUUUUCCUGUUUCGGACCCUUCUCACUCCUUUGGCUGACCUUUCCGUUAGUAGUGGUAAUUGGAGAGAAGGGCAUUAGAAACUGAUGACAGCGAUUAUUUCCCCU
ensembl:ncRNA C36F7.21 ncRNA